UUCUGAUUAUGGUAACAAAGGGUAUCAGUAUCUGUUGUAAGUUUUAAAUAGCCCGCAAACUAGACCAGCAAGCAACUGCCCCUCUGCCAGUGGUGGAAAGGUCAUAUUCUUCUCUGGGAUGUCCUGGACUAUUAUCAUUUUAACUCUUGUUGCCCUCUUCUCUAUGAAGUAACACAUACAAGAUAUCUGACAAAAUGCCUCUACAGGUUGUAGUUAAGAGUAGAUACAUGAACAUGAUUUUGGAAUAGGUCAGAGAAAGGUCACAUGUUUGAAUUACUUCAAUGGAGUUAAGAAACUGGUUGCACAUAUUUGCCCCAUUUUCUAGCUUGUAGAGGCAACACAGAAGCGUUCUGUAGCGGGCAAAGCUUGGCAUUAAUUUUCUCUAAACUUUGACAUAAUGGGGUUUCUUAUCCAAUCUGAUGCCGUAUGGGACAACAUAGUUAUAGAAACCGCUGGUAUUAGAUGGACAAUGCAAUCUUAUUUAGAAAGAACAUUAUUCAUAUUUGUCUAGCCUACCUGAGAAUCCAUAUCUAGGAACUAUAGAUUUUGGUAAUUGAACUGAUACAAUGCUUAUCUGGAUGUUGGGUUUUAUGAUAGCAAAGCACCAUUGUACUUCCACCUGUUUCUGUUCAAUAGAAAAUGCUCAUUAUUCACAUCCUUUUAUUUUUGUUCUUGUAGCACCAGUAGCUGCUCCUUUAGGUUAGGACAUAUAUGUUUGGCGCAAAAAGGGCAUCCUUAAUCUUCAUGGUUGUGAUAGCCAUAAUUUGAGAGUUUAAAAUGCUGCAACUGGACCUAGCUAGCAUAUAGCUGCGUUCCUAUAGUACAUGUCUAUUUUUGAACAUGCAUAUGAUUCAAUUCUGAGUCGGUCAAAAUAGUGGAUCUAGAUUAGGCUUCCAUGCUAUACUCAUUAAAUUGAAAGGGGCGAAAACUAGAAGACACGGUUCUGAAGAUGUUCCUGUUUUGAGUCCUGAUAUUUGCAUAUAGAAACUGAUCACUUGCUUUGGACACCGUUAUUGGAAGUUAAUAAAGGUCUCCGAGUAUUAGUAAAAAAAAUAGAUUAUCUGGAGAAUCUAAUUGUUGAACUCAUUUUUUUACUCUUGACAAGAAUUAUGAAACUCUAUAAAUGUAAAACAUUGGUCAAUAGUAAUCCCAAGGAAGUAGUAUCAUAGAUUCUACCUUUUAUUUAACUGAUGGAAUAGUUAUUACCUUUGAUGAGAAUUUUUCAUCAUUAUUUAUCCCAAGGAAGUAAGGUUCUAGGUUCUACUUGUUAAUCAUAAUAUACUAGAUGUCUUUUACCAUCCAAGCAUAAAUUUAGCAUAUCUAUUUCUCUAAAAAGUGUAUCAUAUGAUGCAUAUACGGUUGUGUUUGAACUUUAAAUAACAUUCUUGAUUUAUUCAAUGUUAUAUCUCAUGGUAUAUAUAUCUCAAAUUCAAGUAUCUCAUUAUUGACAUGGACUCGUGCAUUCACCUACUUAUGCAUGUCCUAUUAGAGCUGAUGCCUGAAUCUCAAUAGAAAUUUUCAGGUUUGCUUGGAGAAUUUUACAUUGCUCCAUAGCAGAUCCUGAUCCUGCACCCAUAGACUCGAUCAUGUUGUCCUCAACUAUUGCUUCUGACAAGCCAUUGAUUUGAGUCAAUCUUUGAUUUGGUGAAAUCCUUUUGUAUUUGAUGUGAAUGCCACCGGUGCCAUUGUUCAAUCAUGUCUGCAAAGGUAACACAUGUUGUUGUGCUUGAGAAUGUAGAGCUGGCUAUUAUUACUUGCUUCUGAUGGUUACUCCUUAGAUCUGGAAAGAAGUGCAUUCUGGCUUCAUGGAUGGUAGUUCCGCUCAGCUGCAGCUCAAGAUUGAUUGAAGACAGUUUUUCCCAUUAAUGAAAUCUUUAAUUCUGUAUCUGUAAUUGCAAUGCCCCUUGACCACCUUACUGUCAUGAAGAUUGGGACGAUUUCUAAGAUAUUAAAAAUAAAGCUGGGGUGUAGGCUUGGAAAUAGAUAGUGAAUUAGUUAUACACCAUCGCCCUAGCUCGGACUUUUGAGAUCAUCUUCCUAUAAGCUCUUUGGAAGUAUUACCACCUUUCAGAAUUUUAAUAUGUUUUGGAAAGUUAAAUUAGAUUUAUAAAACAUAAUACAUUUAGGAAAGGAGGUAAUAGAAGUUACGGCAACAAAUGUGUGUAUUCUUAUUUUUUCUCUGAUUACAUGUUUUUAGAGAUGUCACUAUUAUGUUGAAGAUUGCUUAGAAAACAUUACGUAGUCAGAGAACAAAAGUGAUGAAUGCUUGCGCACUGCCAAAUAAUAUUCCUUGUGAAACUUUCAAUAUGAGGCCUUGUUAUGUGCAGUGGCUCCAAGAUAAGCUCUGGAGCUAGACGGAAUCAAGAGGCGGGGAGAGAUAAGAUUUAUGUAACUAUCUAUACAUUUCUGUGGUUACACAAGGGCACCAACAUGGAUGCUCAAUGCUUUCUUGUUGUGGAAUAUGAGUGGAGGGGCCGAAAGGCGAUUGAAGAGAGAAAGAUAUAAGAUUGUCUUCUUCCAGUCUAUGUGUUUUUACUAGCACAAAGACAAUUUUUCUAAGAGAUGACUUGGAGGUGUGGAGAACACGGAGCCAGCUCUAGAUGGUUGGGUAUCCUGGCGGAUGGACGGCAACACGAAAACCUAACGUAACCGAGAUGAAG